UUAAUCAACAGCUGUAAUGAUUAACUGAUGGUCUGAGAGUUGAAUAACACAGGAUAUUGUGGUAGAAAAUUAUAUACAUGAUACAGUAUUAUAGAUGAAGUUAAUACAUACUUAUUGAUUUUAAUUAUAUAUGAUUGACAGUUAUUGCCAUAUCAAUAAUAAUGUAAUGAGCCCAAAGGGGCCAAUACAACAAAACCCAAAGGAGAGGGAUGGGCUUAUAUAAGAAAGAUGCUCAAGUGUAAUAGACAUUGUUGGCUUAUUGUUGGAUAAAUACCUUAUUCAACAAUUUUCAUAAAACAGGGAAAUGUAUCAGUCACUGUAAUAGAAUGAUGAGUUUCUGUCAUCUUACUGUAUUUUGAAACCUGUUUUCAGUUUCUGAAUUAGAAACAAAUGCAUGUCUAGAAUGAUGAUCCACAUGUGUCAAAUAUAUUGAUAUAUAAUAUAAAAUUCAUGUAUUAAUUACAAUGUCUAAAUCCUAUCUGUGUAUGAUAGAUUUAGAUAUUUUCUUGUUAGAUUGUUGGGGACCAAAUUAUCUAUGUGUUGCUAAGAUAAGUCAAUAUUAAUGCGAAGCGCUAUAAAAGAUGAAGUUUAUUCAUUUAUCUUAUAACUGAGAUAUAAGUUAUACCUGUUUAUAUACAGUAAAUAUGGUAAUCAUUUUUGUUGGCCUGGUUCGAAGCUCAUAAGGGAUUUUUACUGAAGAGGAAGCCAUAGUUGGUUUCUAAGUGUUAAGAGUUUGGUUCAAGUGUUUGAAGGCAUCAUUAGUAAACUCCCUUAUAUGUGUACUAGUGUGAGGUAGAGUGAUAUAAAAUAUGAGGCAAGCUUUAUACUGAUGAUGAGGCGAGCUUUGUACUGAUGGUGAACUCGGCCCCUAAUUCUAGUGUGAGGUAUAGUGAUAUAAAAUAUGAGGCGAGCUUUGUACUGAUGGUGAACUCGGCCCCUAAUUCUAGUGUGAGGUAUAGUGAUAUAAAAUAUGAGGCGAGCUUUGUACUGAUGGUGAACUCGGCCCCUAAUUCUAGUAUUAGGGGUAUAGUGAUAUAAAAUAUGAUGUGAGCUUUGUACUGAUGGUGAACUGAUCAGCCCCAAAUUCUAGUGUUAGGUAUAGUGAUAUAAAAUAUGAGGCAAGCUUUAUACUGAUGGUGAACUCGGCCCCUAAUUCUAGUGUUAGGUAUAGUGAUAUAAAAUAUGAGGUGAGCUUUGUACUGAUGGUGAACUCGGCCCCUAAUUCUAGUGUUAGGUAUAGUGAUAUAAAAUAUGAGGCGAGCUUUAUACUGAUGGUGAACUCGGCCCCUAAUUCUAGUGUGAGGUAUAGUGAUAUAAAAUAUGAUGUGAGCUUUGUACUGAUGGUGAACUCAGCCCCUAAUUCUAGUGUUAGGUAUAGUGAUAUAAAAUAUGAGGCGAGCUUUAUACUGAUGGUGAACUCGGCCCCUAAUUCUAGUGUUAGGUAUAGUGAUAUGAAAUAUGAGAUGAGCUUUGUACUGAUGGUGAAGUCCCCCCUAAUUCUAGUGUUAGGUAUAGUGAUAUGAAAUAUGAGGUGAGCUUUGUACUGAUGGUGAACUCAGCCCCUAAUUCUAGUAUUAGGGGUAUAGUGAUAUAAAAUAUGAGGCGAGCUUUAUACUGAUGGUGAACUCAGCCCCUAAUUCUAGUAUUAGGGGUAUAGUGAUAUAAAAUAUGAGGCGAGCUUUGUACUGAUGGUGAACUCAGCCCCAAAUUCUAGUGUUAGGUAUAGUGAUAUAAAAUAUGAGGCGAGCUUUGUACUGAUGGCCGAACUCAGCCCCAAAUUCUAGUGUUAGGUAUAGUGAUAUAAAAUAUGAGGCGAGCUUUAUACUGAUGGUGAACUCGGCCCCUAAUUCUAGUGUUAGGUAUAGUGAUAUAAAAUAUGAUGCGAGCUUUGUACUAAUGACGCUUCUCUUGUUUUAUUAUUAUAUUUUUUUUUUUGGGGGGGGGGGUUAAGAAAUGCACAAUUUCUCUAUUGACUCAUCGUCAGGAUAUUCAAUGAUUUUUAUUAGGAUUUAUUCUUUCCUUGAAAACACAGGCACUUGACACAAAUUCCCAACUCAUGUUCCAUAUAUUUUAAUAUAUGAUUAUACUAUAACACAUUUUGUACACACAUGUGGACUGAUGGGAUAGGGAAUUUUUGUCAGGCACUCCCCCUGUGCGUGAAAUAGCAAUAAAAUUGAACCCAUUGAAAAUUGCCUUUACAUUUAGUGGAAAAAAAAUGUUCAUACAGUUACAUGUGUCAGAAACAUGUGCCGCAGUAAUUGAAAUUCUACAACUAUUAUGUACUUUUCAUUACUUUGUAUUGUCGAAGUUUAUAUAUUCCAUGAUAUACAAAAAAUGCUGUAUAUUAAUGAUGUAAAAUUGAGCGUACUUGCUUACAGUAUGUUCAGGUCUCGUUUGAACCUGUGUUUUCUGGACAGUUAUAGAAUAUACAGUUAAACCUUAAUGUCCGUUAUUUUGAAAGUUUCAAAUUGGAGUUGAGGUCUGCUAUGUGGUAUUAGGGGCUAGCGUAGCAUGCUUCGUUGUAUUAAGUACUAUUUGCUUAAAAUUGCUCAAAUUAUUUAAAACUAUUGCUGAUGAAACUGGUGUCUACAGAUUUUAAGUAUCAAAAUUAAAACAUAAGAUUUUAUCGUGAUAUGUCUGGUGCAUAACAUUGGAAAAUUAAUAUUAAUAUAUAAUGUGUGUUUUAAAGCUUAGUGUAAACACAAAUAGAAGUAAUAUAUUUAUAUUAUUGUUGAGAUACUAAAUUUAUCCUUUUUUCAGUGACAAUUUUGUUGUAAUAAAUUAUAUCUUUUUAUGUAAACUUUAUUUAUUUUACAACAAUAUCAAAACAUGUUAUACCCACUUACAUUAAUCACUGUUGUGGUCCUGGAUGGAAACGCGCGAGGGGUCUUACUAUUGGUGGAAACUGCAGUACCCGAGAAAUGCACGUGGUCGUGCAGUUGACCCGAUACCUCUUCACGUCUGAUCGGGGAUUCAAACCCUUGCUACCUAGGUGGAAACUGUUCUUAGCUGGCUGCAGCAGGCUGCCUUAUAUUUAUUAUCUUUCUUUUUUUACCACGAUUCCUCUGUUGGUAGUGUGAUGAUAUCAAUAUAGGGGCAACGGUGGCCGAGUGGUUAAGGUGUCCUGACACUUAAUUACUGGUCCUCCACCUCUUAAGUCACGAGAUCGAAACCCACGUGGGGCAGUUACCUGGUACUGGCCGUAGGCCGGUGGUUUUUCUCCAGGUACUCCUGCUUUCCUCCACCUCCAAAACCUUGCAAGUCCUUAAAUGACCCUGGCUGUUAAUAGGAAAUUAAACAAAAUAAACCAAACCAAAAUGAUAGCAAUAUGUUUGUCGUACUAAAAUCAAUGUUGAGUAUAUAAUUUAUAUAGUUGAGAAAUAUAACUUUUGAAAAAAAAGUAAUAUAGAAUAUUUACACCAAAUAAUGUUAGUAGAUUUGACAAUUAUAAAAAAAAAUAAACAUAUUUUAUACAAAGAAGCAAUAUUGUUCCUAUACUACAGAUGCAUUUUUCUGCAGCAGUACCUAUGUUUAUGUAGGAAUGUAGAAUUACAUGUUUAAACUUGUUAGUUUAUGCCAUAUACCGGUACAAUUAAUUUAUUAACAUUCCAUUCUUUUGCUUUUUAAUUAACACAUAGUUUGCUCUAUGGAAAUUAUCUCUAUUCAGUGAUCGGUGUAGUAUUAACAGCCUCUCAUCUUCAUUAGGUUUUUUGUUAUAAACCAGGUACACUCAUCACUACUUGGCUCUAGUCGAAUGAAAAUGAACCCGCAUCGUGUACAUUUGUAUAGGAGGCAACUUAUGUGGGUCAUUGAUUUGUGCGUCUGUAAUUUUUGCUUAAUGUGAAGUGUGCCACCUCUUCUUGCAGUGUAUAUAGGGCCUAAUUUGUUUUUCUCUGAAUAUUGGUAUUUUUCUUCAUAAAAAAACCACUAAUGUUGCAGAAAAGGAUCAGUAGCAUAAUGUAUUAUCUCAGUUUCAAAUGACCCGUGAUAGAAUCCAAGUGUGUUUGAGAAGUGGAAACAUAUGGAUGUAUUUUUGUAAUGAAUAAAUCUUUGCUAUUGUAAACGUGAAAAUAUUUCCAAUUAAGUUAGAAAAAAUAGAAUUCUUGAUAUAAAUCAUAGCAGUUUAUACUACAAAGCAGGUAAUAAUUCUUGUUGUCCUGGUUCGACAUUCAUGAGAUUGGUCGCUUGGAUACUCUACCUUAAGGAACAAUGAGAAAAAACCUUAACAAAUUUCCCGACAACACUGGUUGAACGUCCUUACUCUCCUACAUAUCUCUUCACUUUGUCUGCUGUCAGAAAUUUUCUCCUAGUCACCCGUUUUCAUAAUGACUUUUACUCUUGUGUGAUGUAAAACUGUAAACAAAAAUAAACUGUACACAAGUAAAUAAAUACAUGUUAUAAAAAUUAACAGAUUAUUUUGAUGAUGUUACUUAAUUGUAAUCCAUUUUUUUUACAGUUUGUUUCGAAGUAUAGCCAUUGAUUAAUUAAUUUUUCUGGAAGACUACAUAGACUUAUAGAAACGUGUAGAUAUAUAUGGUAAAGUGUUUCUAUUUUUGCUCUAUUCUCUUUUAGAUUUGUUGAUUUUGAAGUGAAGUUUAGUCAGUAUUUAACUUCAGAUGUGAACUAAAAACAAUCUCACAAAUAAGUCACACUUCAACACAUUGACAUGAACUCAAUUAACUGUACCCAAGAAUUAAUGUGAUUGUGUUGUGUAUUAAAAGGUGUUGCACAGGGUUAGUUAUUCACCACAAGGGAUUCUGUGAAUACUACAGAGGCUUGACAUGUUCUAGGGGUCGACCUGAGGUUUUUUUUACAUUUUGGGUCAUAGGAAGAAAAUUGACAAUAUAAAGUGAACUAGGGGCGGACCCUAGGGUUAAUUUUCCAUUCUGGGUCAUAGGAACGCGUGAUUAUAAGUAAACUAGGGGCGGACCCUAGGGUUAUUUUUUAUUCUGGAUCACAUGAAUAUGUCAAGCCCGGUGGUAUUUACCUAGACAUUUUUUUGUUUAAUUUCACUAUUAUACUAUUGGUAUUCUCUGUAUGUGUCCAUAAAGCUUAAGAAUUAGUAUUAGAUUUUAGUAAUUGUAAUGUAUAUCAUAUGUAUAUUGUAUGUUGUAUUUUGUUGACAAUCCUGUAUGAUUGUGUUCAAGAUAUUUCUAAUUGUACGAAUCAUUCUUGACCUAAAAUAAAACCCUUAUCGAAUGAUAUUAUGAAACAACAAAUAUAUUGAGACGAAUAUACACACAUGGAGAAACAAGAUGUAUUUUUUAUAUUAUACCUACGAAAAUACAAAACUAUGUUAUAUAUGAAAUAUGAAUGAUACUAAAAUAUAAAUAUAGAUUAAACUCGUAUAACUAACUUAGUGAUGUAUCAAGUCUAAACUGAAAGUAUGUGGAUUAUUGAGAAACAAUUUUUUUUAAUUAAUUGACCGAAGAGAAAUAAAAUUAUUAUUAACCAUCGACAAUUUGAGACAUUUUAAAUGUGAAAUUAUAACUCAUAACUUAUCUAUUACAAGAUUUUGUAAGUUACUUUUUGCAGGAUUUUUUUGGCAGUUUUACGAAAAAGUUAUUUAUCGAGGAAAUUAUGAACAUUUUUUUCCUCGUUUUAUUUCAAUGUAUCGAUUUUUUUUGUGAUUUUAUUUUUUAAUUAAACGGCUGAAAUAUAUCCAUUCUAAAAUGGUUUUUACACUUUUUAGUCACUAUUGUUUAACUGUGUCGCUAAGAAAAAAUGUUUUGUUUGUGAUACUUAAAAUUGUGAUUAAAUUGAUAGGUGUAUAUAUAUUGAGUUCCAUGUGCUCGCUACAUUUUACGUAAAUAUUGGAUGUUAGGCUGUGAUUUGUAUUGAUAAAUAAACCAUCUAUUGAAGAGGAUACCGAAAUUCCUUUUUGUAUUUUCAAGUGUGAAAAUCGGUUUAAGUGAUGUUAACUAAUCCAAGGUAGGUUUUUGAGGCAUGCACAAAGGAUAAUUAUUACUAUACAUGUACAUAUUUUAGCGUACUAAAAUAGAAUAAAAAACCGAUUUUAUGAAAAUGAACAAAGUGAUGUAUUACAAUCUUUAAAAACAAUAUAAAGAAAUUGUAUUUUGUUAAAUCAUAAUUUAGCAUAAUAAUAUUCGAUGAAUAUAGCGUUAUAAAGAAUCAGUAUAUUGAAAAAAACUGGUUUCGUUUGAAUUCUAAAGAUAAACUUAACUGACCCUGAAACGAGUGUCACUGAUGUACCGAAUAGCUACUCAAAAUGGCAUAUUCAUUUUACAUAAGAUUUUAUUCCUUUCUUUUAAAAAAUAAAAUGGAUAUUUUACCAAAAGGUUUUUUCCAGUUAAUGCCAUACUAAGUAUAAGCUAAUGUCACUGCGAAAUCCUAUUCUAAUAUGAUAUUUUGAUAGACAAGACAUUAACCAAUUACAAAACCAAACAAAAAAUAAUCAUUUUUAUGCGAUUUCUAUCUGUCAUAAAGAAGCGUUAUCAAGUGUUCCUGUACAUGUAUGUACUCGAGGCAAUAUGAUUUAAAAUACUUACCGAUAUUUCAUUGUCCCCUUCUGUAGUGAAUGGUGUUUGACCUCUGUCCUGUAAAUAUUGCAAGGUCGAUAUUAUAUAGACGUUACUGGUAUUGAUUAUUUUAAUAAAGAAAGAUGUUUUAUUGUA